AGAGUUUGAUCCUGGCUCAGGACGAACGCUGGCGGCGUGCUUAACACAUGCAAGUCGAACGAGAAUCUGCGGAACGAGGAUUCGUCCAAGUGAAGCAGAGGACAGUGGCGGACGGGUGAGUAACGCGUGAGGAACCUGCCUUUCAGAGGGGGACAACAGUUGGAAACGACUGCUAAUACCGCAUGACACAUAGAUGUCGCAUGGCAUUUAUGUACAAGUAUUUACGUCGUCGUAAGGAAAGUAGUCCGG
rnacentral:rRNA from 1 species